rnacentral:rRNA from 1 species
AUAUCAAUAAGCGGAGGAAAAGAAACCAACAGGGAUUGCCUCAGUAACGGCGAGUGAAGCGGCAACAGCUCAGAUUUGAAAUCCGGCCCUAGGCCCGAGUUGUAAUCUGUAGAGGAUGCUUUUGGUUAGGUGCCUUCCGAGUUCCCUGGAACGGGACGCCACAGAGGGUGAGAGCCCCGUACUGUUGGACACCGAGCCUCUGUAAAGCUCCUUCGACGAGUCGAGUAGUUUGGGAAUGCUGCUCUAAAUGGGAGGUAAAUUCCUUCUAAAGCUAAAUACCGGCCAGAGACCGAUAGCGCACAAGUA